UKYACAUUUCAAUUAUUAUAUUUAGUAUAAUUAUCAAAAUUAUUACAAAUGUUAAAAAACAUUUAAAUACUAGAAAGGCGACAAGACCUUAUUGAACUUAACUUUAGUUAAAGUGGGGCAGUAAAUUAAUUAUUAUUUUAAUAAAUAUUAAAUCAUUUAUAUCAAAAAUAUUUAAUUAAACAAGUUACCAUAGGGAUAACAGCGUAAUAAUUUUAUUAAGAUCUUUUUUUAAAAAAAGAUUGCGACCUCGAUGUUGAAUUAAUAACCUAUUUUAAGCAAAUUUUUAAAAAGGAAGUCUGUUCGACUUUUAAAAAAUUACAUGAUUUGAGUUCAGACCGGUGUAAGCCAGGUCGGUUUCUAUCUUCUUAAAUAAUUCUUGUAGUACGAAAGGACCUAAGAAAAUUUUU
rnacentral:rRNA from 1 species